AGAGAGGUGGCCGAGCGGUCGAAGGCGCACGCCUGGAAAGUGUGUAUACGUUAAAAGCGUAUCGAGGGUUCGAAUCCCUUCCUCUCUG
rnacentral:tRNA from 1 species